rnacentral:tRNA from 1 species
GGGCGAUUAGCUCAGCGGGAGAGCGCUGCCUUCACCCGGCAGAGGUCGCUGGUUCGAAACCAGCAUCGCCCA